rnacentral:lncRNA from 1 species
UUGUUAUUUUUACUUUGUUGACGUAUUAUUUUUUUUUGUUUUGUUUUGUUUAUUUUCUUGCUUUUUGCAACCGGGUGACCGCGUUUUCUGCGCUACAGACUGCGCUUUUCUGACUCCUUUGUUUGAUAUCGUGUCGUAUCGUCGUAUUUAUGUAGUUAUUAGGAACGGCAAGCCUACGUUGUUGCGUCCUUUACCUGAAUAUCGUGACCGAAUCGAGUGUCGUCGAUUUGAAUCGUGUCUUGCGAACCAUCGUCGAACAAAAGGUCAUGGCUGGUCGCGGUUCAUCAGCGUUUGUUUUGAAACUGAUGGGUGCCACAAGGCAUGAAAGAGGUGACUUGCAGCAGCAAGACACCGCAAGCCUUCGCAGCAACUGGCUAGCCAGUGCUGCUCUGUUCUGAACUGUACUGCGUGUCAUGUGGAGGGUUUGUGCAAGCUCUCUGGGCGGCGACGCUAGCCACGGAGCUGGCCUCCCUCCCUUCCGUCAGCUGCAAUAUACUACAAGCACUGGGCUACAGCUGCAGCUAGCCCAUGGGUACCGUUCUGCGUCCUGUACUGCAUCUAAUUCGAAAGGCCAUGUGAAAGGCAGGUGUGGUCUUUAUGGGCUCUGUGAGUAUGUGCAUUUUCUGCAGCUUUUUCGGGGCAACUUCAUAUUAAGAUUCAAUACGGACUCGAGUGAGAGGGGGGCAUUCUGAGAAAGCUAGCCUCUUUGUUAAAUCAUUGGGACUGCUAUUAUAUCUAUAGAGUUUAUUUACACCUUACGUUAUGUACUUUUUCAUUUAUUUUUAUUUUACUAGUUACUUAUACUUCAAUCUGACACGACAGCCACCAAAAAUGUUGACAUAUUGGCCUUUUUUUUUUCUGUCAGUUUGUUUGAAGAGCCAAUGUUGGGGGCGGUCAUUCAUGUUAUAUUUCCCACACGCACGUCCAGCCUAUGUUUACGUAAAGCCCAAUUGCCCCUUAGCAACAAAAAUAAUUUAUGCGACAGACUACACGGCAGCAUUGUGGACGAAAACAGGCCAGAUUAUAUCUGCCAUGUUUAAAAACUACAUUCGGCGACAGGUUAUGAAUUCAGUGGCAAGAAUGCACACCGCCUGCCAAUCGCUGCCGUCAGUUGUCCUGACGUCAUGUCUGCUAAGAAACUAGAAUAUAUUUUUUUUAAAUGGCAGGUUUUCGUUGCUGACGCCACGUAGCAUGUCGGCACUCUAAGCACUUAUUCUGCUCUUGGCCUCUCCGGUUUUACCUUGCGAAGUCAUGACGGUGUUUGCUUUUGUUUGCAGUAUUUCCCGUGUGUCGACGUGAGAAGGCAGCGGUUGUAUCGCCAAGGAAGUAGCAAUCAAUCUGCGCGCAUUUGUUCCAGCGGCACAGCGUUUACAAACCGGACUUUGCCCUUCACCGAGGGGAAAGUCUACCGACUCGCCCUACAGUUGGUGAGCAUUGUGCUGCCGUGAGCGCGUAAGUUGUCCGAAUGCUUUCGUCUGUAUACAGUGACAAAAUGACUCGCUGAAAUGCGAAGUACCAUACAGUACCAUGCCGUACAUCAAACCAUCGAUCACUUGCUGCAGCAACUUUGCGUUUUAAGUCGUAAUAAUAAACUGUAUUUUAAGGCUAAAAUCAUUAUUUCAAACUGCUCAAUUAUUCGAAAUUCUGCACGAUCCCCAUCGGGUCUGCAAUAUCGGUCGGUGGCUGUAUAACCUUUAAACACAAUGGUUACACACCACAGGUACCGGGGACCAUGACAUCAAUGAGCUGGCUUUCACCUUGUCCAAGGCAGCAGCGGAACACUACGGGCGGGACCCUGGAUCACUGCACCGUGGAUGCCGUUCUGUACCCUGCACGGCACUGCGUGUGGCUUAAGUGGCCAAGCAGGGGGUCAUUGCAUGACUUUUAUGAGGCGCCGCUAGCCAUUGUUUCAAACCGUCCUGAAUCACGGACCGAGCCUUGCAAGACCUCACUCUUAUGCCCUCUCCUUUCUGGUAGAUCGGGUCUUGCCAUCUUCCCCUCUCGUGGCUCCCUGUCUUAAAUAAAUAGUUUGUUUUUCUGA